AUUCCCGAUUCCUGUUGUGCUUCCCAGGGUUGCCUCCCAGAUGAUCUGUAUGCAAAUCCUGGGACUGCUUUGAGGGAACAAUCUCCCUCCCUCCCUGCUUUUUCCACCUUUUUUUUUUUUUUUUUUGUCCUUUUACAGUUCACUGGCUUAUUCUCAGACCUGAGAUCCCAUUUAUGCCCUAUGGCCCUGGAGGAGUCAUGAUCAUGCUAGAACGUCUUUCAUCAUACCCCAGCCUUGCCUAAGGAGGAAGCACAUUAAAUAAACAACAGGAUUUUCCCUUUAAAACAGACCCAGGUAUAAAUAGGGCAGCACCCAUUAGGGUCCUGAUUCACCCCCACUGUCUGAGCCCCUUACCACCAGGCAGGGCAAAGUGAAUUUGGGGAGAUAGGAGUAGGGAGCAAUAUUUAGAGCCAGGCUUCCUCCCUCCCCCGUCCCUACCUGCUUUCCUUCCUUCCUUCCUUCCCUUCAGCUUUCUUCCCUCCCUUCCUUCCUUCCAUUCAUUCACCCAAUACUUAAUUAAGUCAUCAUUCACUCACUCAGCCACUCGGUGACUCACUCCUUCCAUGUGGGUCAGCAUUUCUCAAAGUGUGCUCCAUAAGGAGCACUUGGUGGGGUUUGUAAUCAGUCUUAUGGGAGUAACAGUUUCCUGUGGCCAAAUAGAUUCUGCUGGUUUAAUUACGGUCCCUCGGCUUCUCGGCUUUAGGACUUCUCACAGAGCAGGUGUGAGUUGCUGGGAGGGAGCGGCAUGCGUUCUACCUCCCAACUUCUUAGAUGCGGGGUCCCUUUCCAUGUUCUCCUGUGCUAUUAGGGGAAGUGCUAUCCUUGAGCAGCCAGCCCGUGUCCCCGGUCCAUGCCAGCCUGGGGGGUUCAGAAGCAAAGGAGAUAAAGUCCCUGCCCUUGGGUGGCUCGCAGCCUGGAGAGCCCCACUGGGGGGGCGUUAUGACCUUGUAGUAACACCACCGAGCAUUCUUUAAAAAAUUGUUUUAAUGUUCAUUCAUUUUUGAGAGAGAGAGAUAGAAUGUAAGCAGGGGUAGGUACAGAGAGAGAGGGAGACACAGAAUCUGAAGCAGGCUCCAGACUCCGAGCUGUCAGCACAGGGGCUCAAACUCAUGAACUGCCUGCGAGAUCAUGACCUGAGCCGAAGUUGGAUGCUCAACCGACUGAGCCACCCACGCUCUCUACACAGCCGAGCAUUCUUGAUCCUCAGGUUGCUUUGUGACUCUGCUGGCCUCCUGGCCCUCCAGUCACCGGGAAGGGCAUCUGCCUUGUUCUUGGCCUUGGACCUGCCUGAGACCUGGGCUCACCACAUCUGGGAGCUCCCUGCUUCCUGUCUCUAGCUCCCCUGCCCUCCUGCAGUCUUUGCUGAGCUCAGUGGCCAGGGAGAUUCCUGUCCCUGUGGUUGGGAAGUCAUUUCCCAAUUGGAGUACUGCUUGAAAAUGGACCCCGCUACAUUCCAUUCUGGAAUGUAGUGGGUGUAAAUCUCUCAUUUCUCUCUUCUGCUGCUUCAGUUCAUCAUAUCUUCUCUGACUUUGACCCUGUGGCCUCCCUCUGGUGAGGACCCUUGUGAUCACAUUGGGCCCACCUGGAUGACCCAGGCUAAUCGCCUCAUUUCAAGGUCCUUAAUCACACCUGCGAAGUGUCUUUGCCACAGAAGGUAACAUAUUCUCAGGUUCUGGGGAUUCAGGCCUGGAGACCUUUGGAGGACAUAGUUUACCACACCCAAACUAUCUGAAACCCAAGGUCAUGCUUUUUCCUUGAUACCAAAGAUUUAUAAGAGCACUGAAUGGAAAUGGCAGAUUUGGGGGAGGGGGAUAUACAGAGUUGCAGGCCACCGAGUUGUGCUGAAGAGGCAGUCACCAGGCCAAGGAAGGUGGUGGUGGUGGUGGUGGUGGUGUGUGUGUGUAUAAAACAGUUUGUAUCUUUUUUCCUAUUCAUAGCCAAAGUGUAACAACUUGGUACACACAAUCUCCGCCACCACACCCACACCGUGUGUUAGUUACUUAUUGAUGUAACUACUUCACACUUUCUGGACAUCUUGCUCCUGGGUUCUCAGGGAACCCAUCGUGCCUGUGAACUGUCUCUCCAGGGUGGACCGAGAUCACGAUGGGGGAAGCCGGGCAGGGUGCCUGGAACCAUCCCCCUCCCUGUGCUCUCGGUGCUGGGGUCAGCUCAGCUCCUCCAGUGCCUGCUUCCUCCCCACUGGGCCUCUGUAGCCUCUUGAACUGUGGGCUUCGUGUUCACACUUUCUGGGCCCUCGGGGAGUAACUGGCUUAGUGAGAACCUGCUUUCUCUGCCUGCCAGGGUGACUCACUUUGGUGACAAUGCAGGGGGCAGAGGGAGGUGAGGGGAGCACUGGGGAUAUGUUGGGGGGCUGGUCCUGAGGCCCAGAGAAGGGAAGGAUCUGGCAGAAGAUCACACAGUGAGCUGAUGACAGAAGAGGGGGCAGCCAAGCAUCCUGGGUCCUAGCACCUAGCCUUCCCUCAGAGCUGUCCCUGCUGCCCAGAGCCUCCCAAAUCCCCUGCCAAGCCUAGCAGCUCAGAGGCCACGGGGAGAACAGGGGUGGGUGCUGUCUGGUCUGGGGCUCCCAGGUCUGGACCGCUGUACUUACUGUCCUCAAGGCCGUGAAACACAGGGAGGAAUCUGUUUCCAUCAGAAUUGAACCGAAUAUUCUCGCUAGUUGUCCACUCCACAAACCGCCACCUCCCCCCACCCGGGGCCCACCACCACCCGGAGAAGAACCAGCUUGAAUCCUGACCCUGGGCCCCCAGUCUGGCAAGGAUGGUUCAGACACACAGGAACAGUCCAGCAAGGGAAGGGCUGGGGGGAGGGGGAGAUGUCGGAGCCCGGCAGUAAGAUAACCCUUGAGGCUGGAUCAUGAGCCUGCCAACAUAGACUUGGGGUGCCCACAGCCACUGCUCCUGUGGGAGGAUGAAGGUGGGCAGCAGAAUCAAGAGAGACAAUACACCUGCCCAUAUUCUUGGACUGCCUGGAUCUGGCCAUGCCUGAAGUCAGAAUUGUCACUUAGACAAUUUAGUUCUGUGAGCCAAUAAAUAUCUUUUCUUGCUUAAGAAGUUUCAAAUUGGGUUUCUGUCUCUUGCAGUGAGUCACGGGGGUGGGUGACGGUGCUCAGAGCUUGCUGGGGGGGGGGGUGGAGGGUUCCCCCAAAGCCGCCUUCUUUUACCCUGUAAUCCAAGUAGUGCCAGUUUUGUGGUGGGUCAUGGAUCAGGCAGCCACAAGCUAAGGAGCAGAAGGCUGGGCGGCCCCAGGACCACAGGGGUCAGGCGGGUGGGGAGUCAGUGUGGCUUGGCUGGGGCUGUGACCGUUGGGCCAGGGCGCCUGGAGCCCCGGGAUUCCUAGGAGAGAUGCUGAGCAGGCGCAGCUGGGCUGUGACCCUGGGGGCAAGGGCGUGCCCAGCCUGUUGCAGCCCGGAAAUACCGGCCUGACCCCGGUAAUUGGCUCUGACUGAGAGAGUUCACCUGGCCUGAGAGGUUCAGCGUGAGGUCAAGCAGAGCAGAGCCCACGACAGAAGAUUUGCCGUCUCACACAUCGAAGCUGCCUGUCCUUCCACGGUUCGUGGCCCACAACCUGGGCAGCAGCUGAAGGGUGAGAAUUUCUGGAAGAAUUUGAGGAAGAAACUCGGGAAAUAAGGAAGCAUGAAACAAGGCACCAGCUGGACCAGCUGUCAGUAAAGCCUGGACCAACAGUGGCCAAGGCUGGGGAGUAGCACCACAUCCUCUCUUUGACCUUCAGCGUCACCCUUGGCAGACUACUGGACUUCUCAGGCCCCCAAGAACAUUCUGGUGAGUGCCUCUGGUCUCUUCCUGACCACCUCCUGGAUGCCCUGCCAACCACCCUGCCCGCCCCACCAUGACAGGGCUGUCCCCUCCCCCACGGGUUGUCACAGCUGGAUGUGAGGCUGGGCCCGGAGUGGACGGCAGCUCACCGUAGCCUUGCUCAUACUCUCGAUGGCGGCGGCGGCGGUGGUGAUGGUGGUGGUGAUGGUGGCGGCGGUGGCGGUGGCGGUGACGCUGGAGCCGGGCCUGCCGGUCCCUGCGGAUGCUGCCAACGAUGAUGGUAAUGCAGGAGAGGAUGAUGACCACACCUAUGACUGCACUUGCCACCAGCACAGGAGACACGAGCAGGUGGCUGUGCUCCGAACUUUCUGAGAACGUGGGGUAGAAAUAGCUGGUACGGUUGUAGCGAGCUACUGGGAACAAAGAGAGAGGACACUGGACUAAGGCACAGAACCUGCCACAAUUUCUCCUCCAUACAUGCUGCCCUGUGAGUUAUUUGUCCCUAAAUAAAUGGAGGACCGUUUGGGGUCUGCCCCAUGGACUGUGUCCUAGCUGUUCUAGUGCCAGGGAGGAAGGGAGCAGCGCUGUGUCCUGCGGCCUGCGGGAGCUUCUGCCAAUGGCGGCUGACCUCCUCUCCUCUCCUCUCCAGCCUCUGUCCUGACAGCGCAGCUAACUCACAGAUAGCAAAAGAGAAGCUCAGAAAGGGCAAUGAACUUGCCCAAGCCACACAGCAAAUGAGUGGCAGAGCUGAGGCUGGAACCCAAGACUCAGUACUAGACAGGGACUCCAUUCCACCAAGACAUGAGGUUGGAAGGUCAGCAUAACCUUACCAAGGUCUUGGCAAGGGGUGGGGAAUGCACAGAAGGUCAAAGUAUGAGGACCAACUCUGUUGGCCUCUAACGCUGGCCUCCUGCUCCGGGGUGAAACCUUACCCGGGGCACUCUAGGGAGAUCAAGUGGUAACUGACCCAGAUGUGUCAGGGGGUCAGAUCAGAUCAGAUCAGAGGAGGCCUCCCAGAGUGGCUAUACUAAUAUUAGAAAAAAAUAGACUUUAAAACAAAAAAUGCCAUUAGAGAUGAGAGGGACAUUUUAUGACAAAGGGUCAACCCAUCAGAAAGCUAUAGCAAUUAUAAACAUAUAUGCACCUAAGAACACAGUCCUAAGAUACAUGGAACAAAGGCUGAAGGGAGAAACCCACGAUGCAACAGUAACAGUUGGAGACUUCAGUACCCCACUUUCAACAAGGUACAGAAUUUGGUUUUGUGUCUGCUCUUGACUGGUUGUGAUGGCUUAAGGUUUUGAUGAAGUUCCAACUUCUUAUUUUUAUUCCCUUGGCUGUCAGCUAGCUACCUUAAGCUAAAGUUUUCCAUUUUUCUUCAAGACCCAGAGAUGAAAGGUGGCAAAAUGAGGCUCCCCGCCUUGUCCGUGUCUCAGGCAAAAGAGAUCUGCUUCAGUCGUCCAGUGUGACCUCAGUUUAGGAGGAAUCAGUCUUUGGCUGUGGACAUGGAACAAGCCCACCACUCUUCCCUCAAGCUGGGCCAGUGGCAGAAGCUACUGACAGUGGUUCUGUUUCCUGUUUGGUCCAGGAGGCAGCCUCAGCAUCUUUUUCAACACAGCACUCCACACAGUGAUUAUACCUGGGCAUGAAAUGGAGCUUUUGGCCCCACUCAUCUAGUGUGACCUCAGUGCCCCAUGCUACCACUCCUGAGCUGGGGGCUAGGGCUUUGGCUUGGACUAGAGCUAAGCCAGUGGCCACCUGCUACCAUAUUCUCUCCAUUAAAGUACAGGCCAGCCAGCUGUCCAACCAAUGUCACCCUCUUCCUCCUCACCAUGUGGCCUCUCACAUCCGAAGCCAAGAGCAGGACUUAGGAGUGUCCACAGUAUCAGCUCUCCUUGAAGAAGGUAGAAGUGUAUGGGGUCCACACACUGUCCUGUUCAGUGUGUCCUGGUCAGUGUGUGCAUGACUUGGGACACACUGGUCACCCAUGACUCAAGGCAGACAUGGCACCAGAGAGCUGGCCCAUCAAGGCUGCAGGUGCCCAGCGUGAACCCCUAGUGUUGGAUGUGUGCACACGUGCCUGUCCUCCUCAGCAUGCAGCAAGGUGCUGGCCCCUCAGGGUCACCUUGAGGAUGCUCCUCCCUCCACGGCCUUGGCAUCAGAUGAGAGCCUCAACCCCCCCCCCCCCCCCCGGCAGUGCCUGUCUCAUUACCAGUUGGGCACAGAGAUGGCAUCACCCGUGCCUGCAGAUGGAGCCAGUUGGCACAGGUGCCUGCCUGCAUGGCCAGUUGAGAAAUUAAUCUUCCAGUCACCGCGACCAGCAGAGGUAGGUGCUGCUUUAAAUUAUGAGGGAAAGUCUCCCAAUUUCUAAACACAGGGUCCAUUUUAUCAACAAGAUAUAUAUGACCUCUCUGACAGCCCCUGUGCCCCACCCCUCUGCCUCUCUGCUCGCCGCACACCAGCUGCACAAGGACAGAGGAUAAAGCAAGCUUUGCCUCUAUCUUGAACUUUCUUCCCAAGCUCCUUCCACAGGUGCCCAUGAUCAAAAGGAAAUUGUACCUCAAAAUACCAUCUCUUCCCUGAAAGGCUGCCUCCCCCCACCCCGCUCGACAUACUAGCAGGAGUAGGUACUGUCUCUGGAACAUUUACUGUGUGUCCCCCACCAUGCUCGGUAGGUCUCACACACUAGAUUACCUCAAUUCUCAUGAUGGACUGUGAUGGGAUCCCCAAUUUAAUAGGUGCGGAAACUGAGCCCCAGGCAAGUUAAGUAACUUGCCCAAAGUCACAUAGCCCACAGAGGGACCUGGGGCAGUGGGCAGCCUAAGCCCCAUGCUCUUAGCCAAGGUGCUAUUCUGUGAGAGCUCGUUUCUUUUCUUUUCUUCUUCUUCUUCUUCUUCUUUUUUUUUUUUUUUUUUGAUCUUGAUAAAUGAAAAUGUUCCUAUCCCUAAAAUGAUGCUUUGCUGCUUCUGGAUCACUUUAUUAUAGUCAAAGCAGGCUAUGACCUAUGGCUUAUCCAGCGUGAAGGCAUAUCAACAGCUGAACAUUGCUGAUAAGACACCGGGAUUCCAGAGAAGGGAGCCAGUGCGUGUUGGGAAGAGACAGAUCACAGCAAGCAGGACACUGGAGAAUGCUUCCCAUGGAGGUUCCUGUCUGUAUGGAUGCCUGGAAGUGGUUAAUAGAUGCCAAGAUGCAAGAGCCUUCUUCACAUCUUUGUGGAACAAUCCACUGUUUCACAAUGAGCUGUUUCCCUCUAAUGGGUUUGUUCUUUGCGGGAUACCCAAGAGAAUAGCGACACCGUCAAUUACAACAGGAAAAUCCAUCUCCUCUCUCCCAGUGCACUUGGCCCUGUGAUGCCACAGGUGACGACUCUGAAGAUCAUGCUUCCCUUGACAAGAUUUCUAGAUACAGAAGCCAUUUUUCCCUCCACCAACCUAGGGCUCAGGAAAGAUGGAGUCCGAUUUGAAGACAUUUAUUGAGUGCUUACUGCAUGCCAGGCACUGGGCCUGUAGGGAUGUGUAGGAACUGCUUCUGAACAGCCCUGAAUAUCGAUGACCACACCCUGUUAACCUCAGGAGGGCAUACCUGGUGAUGGCCCCACCCCAACGGGAUACACCAGCUUCCUCGGCCCACCCCCAGCAGCAGUCCCUUGAGGUUCAAAGGUUUAACAACUGAGGUUUCUACCAUUUAGAAGAGAGGACCCCAACCCAAAGCAGUGACAUGUAACCAGUGGUGCACAUUAGAACAGGCAUUGGUGAGUGGGGGUGAGGGAUUAGCUAGAGUGAGCACGGUAGAGGGGGAGAUGACAAAUAGAUAGAGGAGGGCUAGGGCGAGGCCCUUGAUUUCACACAGACUCACAGUCCUGACUCAUCAAGGAGAAGGGAUUGGGGGGGGUGUUAUGCAAGUCCUCCCAAGUGGCACCAAGUGAUGACGGUUUUGGGGGGGCACAGGGGAUAUCACAAGAGAAAGCAGGUGGCUGCCAUGGGGACAGGUAAAGGGGACGCCACAGUAAGGGUGGGAGCAUGAGUCAGUGAAGGUGGGGCUGGUGGAGACUAAGGGAGCCGCAGCCUCGAGCCCCAGGGGUACACCUGACUGAGCCCAUCGCCUGGACUCAUGGACAUCAGGGAGCCAAGACAUGAAUGUUAUGGACAAAAUCAUCUCAAGGCUCCAGCAGAUUAAAUGAAUUAAUUAGUAAAUGAGGGGCUUCAGGAAAGGUUUCCUUAGGACAGUGAACUCCAAGGAGUGUGUUCUGGAGCGCCCAUCCUGUGAGACCCUCCUUGUGGUCAAAUUUGGGAAGGCCACUGGGCUUUCGCUUUCCUAUGGCAGCCUCACAACACACAUCACCACAUUAAAGGCUCUGAAAAGUCCUGUGGUAACAAAAGCUACUUAACUUGUCUCACUCAGCAUUUCCCACAUUCAUUUGGCCACAAAAUUAAAAAAAAAACAAAAAACAAUCCCGUUAAUAUCCCUCAGAGGAAUCCCGACCCACACUUUGUCAAGUGCUGAUACAGAGGGAUUGGUAAAAGUGGGAUGUCUCUUCUGUGUCAGGGGUCUUCUGUGUUGCCCUCCCCCCACCCAUCAUAUCCCAUCAGCCCCUGAUCAGACCCUUGGGGCUCUUUGGCUAAACAUCCUAGAAACAUUCUCUGCAAACUUGACUCUAAGCCCGGCCCUUGCCUGGCCCCGAGCCAUGAAGGAUGUGAAGAGAAGACUUACAGGGGCAGGGGCGUUUGAAGGACAUGUAAUCCUUGGAGCAAAAUAGCGGAGCCAGCCUGCCCACUUGUACAGUUCCAACUUCUUGUAGAAAAGGAUCCUCUGCUCACCUGCAGAAACACAAACAGACAGAUCAUGGCAUUCUGAGCAUUUUAUACCUGGAAGGACCCUUGAAGACCAGCCCAAUGUCCUCAUAUCACAGAAGGGGAACAGACGUAGAAAGGAUGAAUCCAAGACCUAUCUUUGGAGAGCCUGAACUCAGAAGUCCAAGUCCUGUCACUUCCUGGAGUGUGCCUUUAGGCACAGUACUUCACCUGUCUGAGCUGCAGUGUCCUCAGGGGGAAAUCAGGGAAGCCACUGAGGCCACGGAAGCAUGCCUACUUUUGCCUGGAAUUCAGUCAGCUCAGCAUUGUCACUCUUGUAAGCGUAUGCCCAUCAGAAGCUCUGACUGGCACUGCUGAUAUCACAGACUCUGGGCUGUGAGGAGUGGACCAGAUCCUGUCCUGGGGCCACCUGGUGGUCCUCCUUCUUCACUUCAAGGUGAAACCAGUGACUUCCCGCAUUGCCUCUGUGGGAGCCGGGUGAGCACUAAUGAUCUGCUGGUGCCCAACAGGAACCGCCACAGAGCUUCCGAUCUUUCCAGAAGUAGGCAGGAAAUCGAGAGAGCAUCAUUUCAUGGAAACCAAAUUAGGUGACUGGCCAGCAGCAUUGGAUGAAGAAGGAGUCACAAAAUCAGGACUAAAGAGUGCUCUUUGGCGUUGGCAUUUCCAAGGUUUAUUGGUACCCUUCUGUGUAAUUGAAUAUCAAGGGAAGAGACUGAGGCAGAGAGGGAAGAAACAGAUUGAUGAAGGAGCCACAAAUGAGUCAUUGUUCGAGGCUGGGACGUGAAGAUUUUAUAAGAAAAGCCGGUGGACUCCGAGACAAAGUUAAAAAGCUGCAAGUGUCCCCCACGAACUUCUGGAUCUCCUGUAUCCCCAGCAGACCCUCACCUCCCUGCCUCUGAGGUCAGAGGCCACCUUGAACGGUGGGUCCAAGGUAUAAUGCCCAAUCCUGACCAUCUAGAAAGCCUGACAGCAGAAUCUGGGCAACUGUGGAACCGAUGCUCCAGCUGCACUAGGACGUGGAACUAUGCCAAUAGCCCUAUCCAAAUGUUCUUUGCCAGUGGCACCCCCAUCUCAACCUAGAUCUUCAGCAGUGCCUUGCCCAAAAAGACCCGAUAGCAACUCCGCUGCUUAAGGAUGCUACCAGAUUACAUGUCCAGAAGCCCAAGCUGAGCUGAAUAGCAAAGGGCUAUCUCUGUCAAAGCAAACCUGUGAAGUUUGGAGGGGAAGAAAACUUACUCAAAUGAGCAGAUACCAAUGUAGGGAAUCAAGCAUUGUGAAAAACCAGGUUAGCAUGAUACCACCAAAGGAAAUUAAUAAAACUGCAAUAAGUGACCCUAAAAAAAAAAAUGAAGCUCUGUGAAUUGUCAAAGAAUUUUGAAAAUCUCUUUGAAAACCUCUUUAAGAAGUUUAAGGUCUAAGAAAACACAGACCUUAAGAAGUUUAGGUCUAAGAAACAAUUCCUAAAAGAAUUGAGCAAAACAAUGAAUGAACAAGAAGCUCAACAAAGAGAUAGAAACCAUUAGAAAGAACCAAAUCCCUAGAGCUGCAGAAUGCAAUGGUUGAACUGAAGAAUUCAUCGGAGAGCUUCAACAUCAGACUUAACUAUAUAGAAGAAGAAAAUCAAAGAUCUAGAAGACAGGGCAUUUGAAAUUUUUCAGAGGCACAAAAAGACAAUAGUAUAAAAAAAAAGCACAUGCAAGAGAAGAAAAACUACAGACUUACAAAAAAACAAAAACAAAACAAAACAAUGGAACUUCCAGAAGUUAAAGAAAAAAUGAACAGAAUGUAUAUUUAAAGCAAUAAUGACUAAAAAUUUUCAGAGCACAGAGAGAGAAAUAGACCUGAAGAUCCAUGAGGCCCAAGAGAUCCCAAAUAGGUUUAAUCUGAAUAGGGCAACACUGAGACACACUAUAAUUAAAGUGCCAAAAGUCAAAGACAAAGAAAGAAUUUUGAAAGCCACAAGAAAAAAAGACAAGUUAGAAGGUAACCUCAGAAGAUCAUCAUAUUUCUCAAUAGAAUUUUUCAUGCCAGAAGCCAGUGGGAUGACAUAUUGAAUAUAUUGAAAGAAAACAAGUUGUCAACCGAAAUUAUAUAUCUGGCAAAGCUGUCCUUCAGAAAUGGAGGACAGAAAAUCCUGGACAAACAAAAGCAGAGGGAAUUCAUCACACUAGACCAGCCUUAGAAGAAAUGCUGAAGGGAGUACUUUGAGUCAAAAGGAUGCUAAGUAACAUAGUAAAAACAUGAAGGUAGUGUAAAAGUCACUGGUAAUGGUAAAUAUAUAGUCAAACUGAGAAUCUUUGUUAUGGUAAUAUUGGUGCAUAAUUCACUUUAAAAGUUAAAAAAGUACACUAAAAAUAACCAUAACUACAAUCUGUUAUUGGACACACAAUAUAAAAAUAUGUUAAUUGCAGUAUCAGUAAAUUUAAAUAUGUGGGAGGGAGUGAAAUAUAAAUUUCACAACACUGUUAAAGUUGUUAUCAGUUUAAAAUGGGGUGUUACAAUUUAAGAUAUUGUAUAUAUCCUCGUGAUAACCUCAAAGCAGAAACCUGUAGUAGUCACAUAAAAGAUCGUGAUCAAGAAGGCAAAGCACACCAAUUACAAAAAUGAUCAAAUCACAAAACAAAACAGGAUAAGAAGCAAGGAAGAAAAGGAUGUACAACAGAAAACACUUAACAAAAUGCUAAUAGUGAGUCCUUGCCUAUCAAUAAUUACUUUAAACACAAAUGGAUUAAAUUCUCCAUCAAAAGACACAGAAUGGGUUAACAGAUUAAAAAACAAGAUGUGAUUAUAUGCUGCCAACAAGAGACUUACUUUAAAGACACAUAUAAACAGUGAAGGAAUCAAAAAAGACAUUUCAAGCAAAGGGUAACCAAAAAACAAGCAGCGAUGGCUAUCCUUGUAUCAGACAUAAUAGACUUUAAGCUAAAGUGGUAAAAAAGAGACAAAGUGGGUCACUAUUUAAUGAUAAAAUGGUCAAUCCUUCAAAAAUAUUUAUUGUUGGGGCACCUGUGUGGCGCAGUUGGUGAAGGGUCAGACUUUGGCUAAGGUCAUGAUCUCCCAAUUUGUGUGUUCAAGCCCUGCAUUGGGCUCUGUGCUGUCAGCACAGAGUCUGUUUGGAUCCUCUGUCUCCCUCUGUCUCUGUCACUCGCCUGCUUAUGCACUCUUGUGCUCUAUCUAAAUAAUAAACAUUAAAAAAAGUA